GCAAAAUGGCGAGCUUGAAGCAAAGGGACUUUUAGCAACCAUAAUAAAGAAAGAAGGAACGUUGGAAUCAUUUAAGGAACUAUUGUUGAAAGAGCUCCCAAAAGCUCAAGUGUUGGAGCCUAUAGCAGGCGUGCCUCUAGAGAUCUUGGCUCCAUCUUUAGAGGUUUAAAAUGUAACAGUACAAACUAAAUGAGGAUACACAGAUGUGAAUAUACACAUGUGAAAUGAAGCUUUUUAGUGAGGGAACAAAUAUAUAGUUUGAGAUA